CUCCCAAUCAGAAACCAGGUCGGGUCGUCCAGAGAAGUAUAAAAUGCUCAGUGAACUCCAAGGAAGAUCGACCCUCGUCCCACCAGAGGGAGAGAUCCUUCCGAGAGAAACAGUGUUGACUUUCCCGCGAUUUCCAUUCGUGAAAAGAUGAUGUCGAGCGGCUACACCAGUCUCGACAACCAGAAGGUCUCCGGAUCCGUGCCUGCGGCUUCAGAUCCUGGUCAUGUGACUGUUAAAUUUGCAGAGUCGAAUCUUCAGACAGUUGCACCUUCUCAAGCUCAAGGAAAGAUCUCCGGUGGCUUUCGUCCCCCGCGCGAUGCUGAUGACACUUUCUCCAAACCAGUGAAUGGGAGUGGAUCUGAUGAACCUGAGUCUAGUGGCUGGUUUCGAGGAUUCACGGUUGCUGCUUACAAACCAUACUUUGAUGUAGACACUUCAGAUGUAUUAGAGAGGAUUAAGGACUCACUUUUUCCAUUUAAGGGAAGCUUUUCUGAAAAGACUGCUAGCAAACCAGACUUGUAUGGGCCAUUUUGGAUUUGUACCACCUUAAUAUUUGUAGCAGCAUCCAUUGGCACAUUUGUCACGUACCUGGCACACAAACUGCAGAAUAAAGAAUGGGAGUAUGACAUAAAUCUGGUGACAUGGUCCGCUGGUUUGUUUUAUGGCUAUGUCACCAUUGUCCCACUUGGCUUGUAUAUCAUCCUAAAAUACUUCUCGGCUCCAUCUGGCCUCUCCCAGCUAUUUUGUCUAUAUGGUUACUCCCUAUUUGUCUUCAUUCCUGCCUCGGGAGGUCAGGGCAAAUUUCCCCCUUUUUCUCAAUUUGAGAUGGGGUAGUUCACCAUGAAUGUGCAAAUAGUUGCGAUAUGAAGAUUUAAGGAUAAGGCUCCUCAUUUGUCUGUGCUAGCAUGGUCUGGAUUAGAUUGGUUCAGUUCUGGCUCUGCCAUCAUGGCUCUCAUCCUCUCCUGAUCUUUUUCUAUAUUUAAGCUUACGCUGGGCAGUGGCAAAUGGGGCAGAACCCUUCUACGAAAAAAAAAGUUGUGCUUUGAAAGGGCUGAAGUUCCUUGAAUGAUGAAACUUUUUGAUUAUGUGAGGAUGCUUGUUAUUGUCUUCUCACUAUGAGGGUGUCUAUCUGUGGUACCUAUGGAAGUGUUCAGGUGGGCAGUUACAGGUGUUGCAGGGUUCAUGUCAGCGACGUUUGUUGCUCUUAAUCUCCGUGCUCACAUCAUGUCUACUGGAGAAAGGUGGUUAUUGAUUGUGACUGGG